rnacentral:rRNA from 1 species
UAGGGAAUCUUCGGCAAUGGACGGAAGUCUGACCGAGCAACGCCGCGUGAGUGAAGAAGGUUUUCGGAUCGUAAAGCUCUGUUGUUAGAGAAGAACGUUGGUAGGAGUGGAAAAUCUACCAAGUGACGGUAACUAACCAGAAAGGGACGGCUAACUACGUGCCAGCAGCCGCGGUAAUACGUAGGUCCCGAGCGUUGUCCGGAUUUAUUGGGCGUAAAGCGAGCGCAGGCGGUUCUUUAAGUCUGAAGUUAAAGGCAGUGGCUUAACCAUUGUACGCUUUGGAAACUGGAUGACUUGAGUGCAGAAGGUGAGAGUGGAAUUCCAUGUGUAGCGGUGAAAUGCGUAGAUAUAUGGAGGAACACCGGUGGCGAAAGCGGCUCUCUGGUCUGUAACUGACGCUGAGGCUCGAAAGCGUGGGGAGCAAACAGG